rnacentral:rRNA from 1 species
GACGAACGCUGGCGGCGUGCCUAAUACAUGCCAGUCGAACGCUUCUUUCCUCCCGAGUGCUUGCACUCAAUUGGAAAGAGGAGUGGCGGACGGGUGAGUAACACGUGGGUAACCUACCCAUCAGAGGGGGAUAACACUUGGAAACAGGUGCUAAUACCGCAUAACAGUUUAUGCCGCAUGGCAUAAGAGUGAAAGGCGCUUUCGGGUGUCGCUGAUGGAUGGACCCGCGGUGCAUUAGCUAGUGGGUGAGGUAACGGCUCACCAAGGCCACGAUGCAUAGCGGACCUGAGAGGGUGAUCGGCCACACUGGGACUGAGACACGGCCCAGACUCCUACGGGAGGCAGCAGUAGGGAAUCUUCGGCAAUGGACGAAAGUCUGACCGAGCAACGCCGCGUGAGUGAAGAAGGUUUUCGGAUCGUAAAACUCUGUUGUUAGAGAAGAACAAGGACGUUAGUAACUGAACGUCCCCUGACGGUAUCUAACCAGAAAGCCACGGCUAACUACGUG